CAAAUUUCUGCCCUAUCAACUUUCGAUGGUAUGGUCUUGGCUUACCAUGGUGUCAACGGGUAACGGGGAAUUAGGGUUCUAUUCCGGAGAGGGAGCCUGAGAAACGGCUACCACAUCCAAGGAAGGCAGCAGGCGCGCAAAUUACCCAAUCCCGACACGGGGAGGUAGUGACAAUAAAUACUGAUACAGGGCUCUUUUGGGUCUUGUAAUUGGAAUGAGUACAAUUUAAAUCCCUUAACGAGGAACAAUUGGAGGGCAAGUCUGGUGCCAGCAGCCGCGGUAAUUCCAGCUCCAAUAGCGUAUAUUAAAGUUGUUGCAGUUAAAAAGCUCGUAGUUGAACCUUGGGCCUGGUUGGCCGGUCCGCCUCACCGCGUGCACUGGUCCGACCGGGUCUUUCCUUCUGAGGAGCCGCAUGCCCUUCACUGGGUGUGUCGGGGAAUCAGGACUUUUACUUUGAAAAAAUUAGAGUGUUCAAAGCAGGCCUAUGCUCGAAUACAUUAGCAUGGAAUAAUAGAAUAGGACGUGUGGUUCCUA
rnacentral:rRNA from 1 species